rnacentral:rRNA from 1 species
GACGUAGGAGCCAAGCGUUGUCCGGAUUGACUGGGCGUAAAGCGCACGCAGGCGGUUGCGCGCGUGGGGUGUGAAAUCUGGCCGCUUAACGGCCAGGCGCCAUCCCAUACGGCGCGACUGGAGUGAUGCAGAGGUCGAUGGAAUUGCCGGUGUAGCAGUGAAAUGCGUAGAGAUCAUGAGGAAGACCAGUGGCGAAGGCGGGUCUCUGGACAGUUCCUGACACUGAGGCACGAAGGCCAGGGGAGCAAACGGG